GUACCAUCAGUUUCAUUUUUUCAACAAUUUUGUUGAUGAUGUCUGGUUGCCUGGUUGUUGGUUUGCAUGCCUUCUUUUUGAGCAACAUAUUCAGCAAAUUCUGCAUUGGAAAAUGAUGUCUUUCGGAAUCAUGCUGGUCCUCGGUCAUUUCCGACACUUUUGACCUUUGAGCAGCAUAUGCAGUGGCAUAGAACGAUCUGAACAAGCCUGGUAGGUAUCCAAAGAACAAGCAAUGAAAUUGAACCCAUUUUCUGGAUGGGGUCAGAGAUCUAUAGGCUGGGAUUACUGUUGUCACUGCCCUAUAGAUUUGGGUUGUAUCGUUGUGUAUUAUAUUUGCUAUGGAGCUAUGUAUGUAUGGAUGCUAUGGAACUAUAUGUAUAUAUGGAUGCUAUGGAA